rnacentral:rRNA from 1 species
AUUGAACGCUGGCGGCAUGCCUUACACAUGCAAGUCGAACGGCAGCACGGGAGCAAUCCUGGUGGCGAGUGGCGAACGGGUGAGUAAUACAUCGGAACGUGCCCAGUAGUGGGGGAUAACCCGGCGAAAGCCGGACUAAUACCGCAUACGACCUACGGGUGAAAGCAGGGGAUCGCAAGACCUUGCGCUAUUGGAGCGGCCGAUGUCAGAUUAGCUAGUUGGUGGGGUAAAGGCCCACCAAGGCGACGAUCGGUAGCUGGUCUGAGAGGAUGAUCAGCCACACUGGGACUGAGACACGGCCCAGACUCCUACGGGAGGCAG